AUGAACGCUGGCGGCGUGCCUAAUACCUGGCAGUCGCGCGAACGGACGAGAAGCUUGCUUCUCUGAUGUUAGCGGCGGACGGGUGAGUAACACGUGGAUAACCUACCUAUAAGACUGGGAUAACUUCGGGAAACCGGAGCUAAUACCGGAUAAUAUUUUGAACCGCAUGGUUCAAAAGUGAAAGACGGUCUUGCUGUCACUUAUAGAUGGAUCCGCGCUGCAUUAGCUAGUUGGUAAGGUAACGGCUUACCAAGGCAACGAUGCAUAGCCGACCUGAGAGGGUGAUCGGCCACACUGGAACUGAGACACGGUCCAGACUCCUACGGGAGGCAGCAGUAGGGAAUCUUCCGCAAUGGGCGAAAGCCUGACGGAGCAACGCCGCGUGAGUGAUGAAGGUCUUCGGAUCGUAAAACUCUGUUAUUAGGGAAGAACAUAUGUGUAAGUAACUGUGCACAUCUUGACGGUACCUAAUCAGAAAGCCACGGCUAACUACGUG
rnacentral:rRNA from 1 species